AUCCAGCUGACGAGUCUCACAUAGGAAGAAAUGCGCAUCCUCUAU
rnacentral:hammerhead_ribozyme from 1 species